AUUCUGCAACAGGUCACCUGCACCACCAGAUACAGAGUUCUGUUAUAUGGCACGUGACUUUGCACAAACAUACUGCACAGAACACCAAGAAGCAGUAAUGGACUGGGCAGAGAACUGCAUCAACUGAUAUGGAUGAUAAAUCGUGCUGGAAGAUUGUAUCCCUGAGUUACACGUACUUCUCCUGUGCGGCAUUCUAGAAGAAAGCAGACCUUAAAGUAAUCAAAAAUUUCGAAACUGAGUUAAGCAUCCUGGAACUGUUACAGUAUAACAAGUAUAAACUGAAACAAUGUCUCAACAGAUAUGCUUACAGGAUGAGUGGUGCAUCUGUUACAAGAAAAUCAGGAGCUGAAGAUAUGAUUUAAUAGUGACGAAGGAAAGAAGAAAAAUGGAAAAUGUGAGAUACAUGAAAACUGGAGACAAACAGCAUUUCCAAGCCAUUUCUGAGUCCUUACAUUUACCAAAACACCAACAUUUAGCAUGAAUUAGAGCACAGUUUUCCCUUCCAUUUUUUCCCUUGAACUUUUCCACUUCUUUCAUUUUGUCCAGAUAGGAAUAAACAGAUGUGAAUGCUAGAAGACCCACAGCAUCUAUUGUUUUGAUUAUUCCUGAUGCAGUGAUUGGAAAAGCAGGUGCUCUCAUUAAAGUGUACAUUAAUCUUUACUGUCAUAAGAUCAGCAGAAAUCAUAUCCAUCACAGUAGUAAAAUUAACCGAACUAUAGGUCUCAAAUCCAUA